GUAAUUCCAGCUCCAAUAGCGUAUAUUAAAGUUGUUGCAGUUAAAAAGCUCGUAGUUGAAUUUCGGGGUUCCACCGUUGGUCGGGCCAUUGGCUGGACUGGGGUGUGGAAUUUCCUCCUUCUGGGGAACUAUCAUGUUAUUUAUUUAGGGGGGGGGGAAACCAGGACCUUUACCUUGAAAAAA
rnacentral:rRNA from 1 species